CCUACGGGAGACUGCAGUGAGGAAUAUUGGUCAAUGGGCGUGAGCCUGAACCAGCCAAGUCGCGUGAGGGAAGACGGUCCUAUGGAUUGUAAACCUCUUUUGUCGGGGAGCAAAAGACGCCGCGCGUUGCGUUCCGAGAGUACCCGAAGAAAAAGCAUCGGCUAACUCCGUGCCAGCAGCCGCGGUAAUACGGAGGAUGCGAGCUUUAUCCGGAUUUAUUGGGGUUAAAGGGUGCGCAGGCGGAAGAUUAAGUCAGCGGUAAAAUUGAGAGGCUCAACCUCUUCGAGCCGUUUAAACGGGUUGUCUUGAGUGAGUGAGAAGUAUGCGGAAUGCGUGGUGUAGCGGUGAAAUGCAUAGAUAUCACGCAGAACUCCGAUUGCGAAGGCAGCAUACCGGCGCUCAACUGACGCUCAUGCACGAAAGUGUGGGUAUCGAACAGGAUUAGAUACCCCAGUAGUC
rnacentral:rRNA from 1 species